GCCGAGGUGGCUCAGCCCGGUACGGCGCGAGCCUGGAAAGCUCGUGAGGUUUUUACCUCUCGGGAGUUCAAAUCUCCCCCUCGGCG
rnacentral:tRNA from 1 species